AGAGUUUGAUCCUGGCUCAGAGCGAACGCUGGCGGCGUGCUUAACACAUGCAAGUCGAGUGCGCGUUUCCGUAGCAAUACGGAAAUGGCGCACGGCGCACGGGUGCGUAACACGUGGGCAAUCUGCCCUUCGAUGGGGAAUAACCUCGCGAAAGCGAGGCUAAUUCCGCAUAACAUUCCGAUGACUAACGUUGUUGGAAUUCAAAGCCGUAAGGCGUCGAAGGAGGAGCCCGCGCACGAUUAGCCUAGUUGGUGAGGUAACGGCUCACCAAGGGCUAUGAUCGUUAGCUGGUUUGAAAAGAUUGGCAGCCACACUGGAACUGAGACACGGUCCAGACUCCUACGGGAGGCAGCAGUGGGGAAUCUUGCACAAUGGGCGAAAGCCUGAUGCAGCGACGCCGCGUGGGGGAUGAAGCUUUUCGGAGUGUAAACCCCUUUCGA
rnacentral:rRNA from 1 species